rnacentral:rRNA from 1 species
AUUGAACGCUGGCGGCAGGCCUAACACAUGCAAGUCGAACGAGUGGCGGACGGGUGAGUAAUGUCUGGGAAACUGCCCGAUGGAGGGGGAUAACUACUGGAAACGGUAGCUAAUACCGCAUACCAUCGGAUGUGCCCAGAUGGGAUUAGCUAGUAGGUGGGGUAACGGCUCACCGAGGCGACGAUCCCGAGCUGGUCUGAGAGGAUGACCAGCCAAACUGGAACGUAGAAACGGUCCCGACUCCUACGGGAGGCAGCAGUGGGGAAUAGUGCACAAUGGGCGCAAGCCUGAUGCAGCCAUGCCGCGUGUAUGAAGAAGGCCUUCGGUUUGGAAAGGACUUUCAGCGGUGAGGCGUUACCCGCAGAAGAAGCACCGGCUAACUCCGUGCCAGCAGCCGCGGUAAUAC